AAAAAUACAAAGGCCUGGGCAGCCCCUCCUUGUAUAAAAACAAAGCCCUCUGAUGGCAGCGUAAUUAAAGUGCUAAGCUGGGAAGCUGUGGGUAUCCAAAGCCGGGGGGCAGUUUCUGGGCCUUGACCUCUCCCAUGGUGGGCCCGCACUGCCAGAUGGAGUAUCUCGAAGAGUCUGUGUGCUUGGCCGUUGGCUGACAGAUGCCUUCAACAAGACAAACACACAAAUGACCACGAGGUCCCAUGUUCCAGCCAGGAGACUUCUGUCCCCAAAGCCACCCCGUGAGAAACUGCAAGCCACCAAAACUACCAUCAAUAGAAAUAGAUCAAUUAAAUAUAACUAUACGAUGGAAUAUAUUGCAUUGAAAAGAAUGAACCAGAGUGGAUUUGAAUGCUCUCUCAUAGGUAGUAAGCAAACUCAGCAAGGGCCAGAGUUGUGGAUAUAGAGAAAUUCCUUUCAUGUAAAUGGAAAGUACGUACUGUUUCCUGGUUUGGGAGGUUAACAUUUUCUCUGCAAGUUUUCAGCCAUUAAAAGCUUCUUUUAGAGAGGGACACCUGGAACUUCAUUGCACCUUUCUCCUGCUAUUUUUUUAAAACUCUAUGUACGUCAUCGUGCUUUCAGUUUAAAUGCAAAGAGCUUCAUGUGCUGGUUACUUGAGGUUAAGGACACUGGAAGGUGUUUUGUUUAAAAUAAAGCAGGAGCUGAUGGGUGUGAAGGAGACAAGAGACCACUGACAAGCUGAGAUUGGCACCUUUGUGUCACCAGAGGCAAAUUCAGCUCAAACUGUUUCCAAUUCCUAUCAGCACCCUCCAGAUGAAUGGGAUGUAAACCACACACCAAUUAUGAGAAUCUCAAGGAGGAAACUCCUUCUUCUGUCUAUCCACCCACUUGUCGGCUCACCCAUCCCAGUAUUGUAGUGUCCUCCCCCCCGCCACCCAAAAAAUGGGGAGCAGAAAAAAGCAAAGAUGUUGCUAAGUGAAUAAAUCUGUGGACAAACCCACUCUGCGUUACCCCCCUUCUCCCCUCAGUGCCAGGGUUCCUUGCUCAGCUGGAGGAGAUUUAAAAGAUGCAGAAGAUCCGCUUACUCACAUGUUAAAAAACCAAGAAUCAUUUUCCUGGUGAUCACACAGAAUGGGUACAGUAGAGCCCCCUGAAGCGAUAGGUGCACUAAAAGGCAAAAUAGCUACAAUGAAACAACUUCUGGAAAGACUCCAUCCGGAAGUUCAAGUUCGGUCUUCUGUUUUUUCCAAACCAGCUCCAACCUCUUGUAGGUUCCCUGCCUUCUUCUCUGAAAUAAACAACAGAGUCACAUCCA